rnacentral:lncRNA from 1 species
GCCCUGUCCCCGCAGACAGGAGAUGCUCGCGGUCUCCUUUACACAAACGUCUGCCUGACGCAGCCUGUGGAAAUCAGCACAGCGAAGUGCCAGAGGGGAGCACGUGUGGUGUGCCUUGUGCAUUCCCAAAAGCUGCCAGCCUAAGCCACUGACCUACUUGGGCAGAUUUUUGGAAUUUCAUACCUUGAAAUAUUUAUGAUUAAAUACUUGCUCUGCAUCCCUUCCUCUUCUCCCUGCUGCCUGCGCCGUGCUUGUCUGCGUGCUUCCCUGUGCUCACAGCUCUCCCGCAUUGCAAAUCCCCUUGUCUGUUUGAUCUGAUGUGCUACAGCUGCUUUGCCUGGCAUCGAGCUGUGAUGUGAUAAACAUCCCUAUAAGCUUCCAUUAAACUCACCUGCUCCAUGAAACCCACUAUCUAAACAGGGCUCCGUAUCCAUCUGAGCUGUGCAAAGCUCCGGGAGCCCCGUCGGUGGGUAAGGAAGCCGUGGCGAGCGCUUUCCCAUUCAGGUCAGGUCGGCACCAGGCGGGUGCGGGGCUGGAGGCAACGCAGCCCUGCAGCAGGGCUCUGCUGCCCGCAGCCCCCCAGGGCUGGGUGUGUGUGCUCUGACCUGGGCUGUGAUCCCAGCCUGCUCCCCAUGCCCGCUGGUACUGGGCUGCAGCCCCCUGGCACCCCUCCUGCAGCAAGAGGAGGGGAAGGGAGGUUUCCUACCCCAAGGGAAGGGCCCGGGCUCCUGGUGAUCCGUAGAGGCGUGAUUAAAUUGUGCUGGGAUGCAAGGAGACCCCAGGGCCAGCAGUCCUCGUGGUGUGGAGCCCUGGCACACACCGGGCUCAGUGCUCACGGCACCUGCCUGCAGCUGCCCAGCCAGGGGAAGGAGCAUUUGUUUGAUUCAUGGGAACCAGAGGCAGAUUACAGGCACAGCUCCUGCUCUGGCUUUGAACUUCACCCCGACGCCUCUUGACCGGGAUGACAGCGCUCGUACAGAGGUGCCCUUGGAGCAGCCCCCCCUUUCCUCAGGGCGAUACCCAGCAGUGAGCUGCUGUGGCUGGGAGCCUGCAGCUCUGUACACCACGUCAGGAGGUGCAGGAGCAGGCAAUGGGCCGGCACUGCUGAGAGCUCGCCAGGGCUGUGCUCACAGCUCUCACUGCAGCACCAGCAGCAGCAGCUCCAUGGUCGGGAGCUUGUGCAAGAGGCACCGCAGCCAGCUGCAGAGCCACCGGCAGGCCGAACACUGCAAAGUGCACCACGGAGACUGA